rnacentral:siRNA from 1 species
GCAAGCUGCAGAAGUGGUGCA